AGUGGUUACACAACAAAUCAUAAACCAAUGAUUAUGCAUAAUGUGAUUAUCUUAAAACCGACAAAAUUCUUAACAAUUUUAGGAAACUUAUUUUUUGUUCUGAAAAUGACUGCAAACUUGCUAUGGCAUUUCUUUGACUACAGAUUUAUCAUAAUAUUAAUAUUUGAUUUGAUGCAAAAAAAAAGACACCUCUCACUCUUUUUUACCAAAAACAUCCAUUUCAAUAGAUCAUUUAGUUAAAUGCAGUAAAUAAUACUUAUUUGGAGAGAAAAUAACAAAGCUACUUAUUUGGAGGAAAAAUAACAACGCAUUAAUCAUAUACCAUGUAUUUUAAACAUUUAAUUUAUAAAUAACUUAAUCAGGGGUAUGUGUUGCUUGUUCAGCUAUUAAACAACACAAUGGAAUCAUUCAGUAUGGUUAAGUCACAUUAGCUGUCACUCAAAAAACAUAUCUGUAAAUGUUCCCUGAUGAAAUCUAAAAUUAGUAAUAUGAUUUUUAUAAAUCUAUUCUUUUCAAUGAAGAAUUUAAAAAACAUUAAGAUAAUAGAAAAUGUAAAAGAAAAUUUAAUAUGUGCUUUAGAUAUAUUUAUAUUUAGAUUUAAACAUUUGAUAAAGAUAAAAAUUAUGGGAACAAUCUUUUGAUUUUUUAAAUAUGCUUUAAAAAAGCAUUGACCAAUAUGGGGUUUUCUCUUCUCCUUUUUUAUUUUAUGCUUUUCUAUUUUAUAUAUUCAGUAAAUAAUAAUAAAAUGGUCUCCAGAUUGUUUUAAAUUGGUGACAUUCAUUCAAAG
rnacentral:lncRNA from 1 species